rnacentral:rRNA from 1 species
AACACUAGGAACACCUUUACUUUAAAUAAUAAAAAAAUUUUUCAUCUAAGUGAAAAGACUUAGAUAAUAAAGGAAGACGAAAAGACCCCGCGGAGCUUUACCUUUUCCUGUACUUCUGUUUAUACACUUAAAUGUACUAGAG